rnacentral:rRNA from 1 species
UCUUAACUGGGCGUUAAGUUGCAGGGUAUAGACCCGAAACCCGGUGAUCUAGCCAUGGGCAGGUUGAAGGUUGGGUAACACUAACUGGAGGACCGAACCGACUAAUGUUGAAAAAUUAGCGGAUGACUUGUGGCUGGGGGUGAAAGGCCAAUCAAACCGGGAGAUAGCUGGUUCUCCCCGAAAGCUAUUUAGGUAGCGCCUCGUGAAUUCAUCUCCGGGGGUAGAGCACUGUUUCGGCAAGGGGGUCAUCCCGACUUACCAACCCGAUGCAAACUGCGAAUACCGGAGAAUGUUAUCACGGGAGACACACGGCGGGUGCUAACGUCCGUCGUGAAGAGGGAAACAACCCAGACCGCCAGCUAAGGUCCCAAAGUCAUGGUUAAGUGGGAAACGAUGUGGGAAGGCCCAGACAGCCAGGAUGUUGGCUUAGAAGCAGCCAUCAUUUAAAGAAAGCGUAAUAGCUCACUGGUCGAGUCGGCCUGCGCGGAAGAUGUAACGGGGCUAAACCAUGCACCGAAGCUGCGGCAGCGACGCUGAUGCGUUGUUGGGUA